rnacentral:rRNA from 1 species
AGAGACCGGCGCACGGGUGCGUAACGCGUAUGCAAUCUACCUUUCACAGAGGGAUAGCCCAGAGAAAUUUGGAUUAAUACCUCAUAGUAUAGCAGUUUCGCAUGAAACCACUAUUAAAGUCACAACGGUGAAAGAUGAGCAUGCGUCCCAUUAGCUAGUUGGUAAGGUAACGGCUUACCAAGGCAACGAUGGGUAGGGGUCCUGAGAGGGAGAUCCCCCACACUGGUACUGAGACACGGACCAGACUCCUACGGGAGGCAGCAGUGAGGAAUAUUGGACAAUGGGCGCAAGCCUGAUCCAGCCAUGCCGCGUGCAGGAUGACGGUCCUAUGGAUUGUAAACUGCUUUUGUACAGGAAGAAACACUCCCUCGUGAGGGAGCUUGACGGUACUGUAAGAAUAAGGAUCGGCUAACUCCGUGCCAGCAGCCGCGGUAAUACGGAGGAUCCAAGCGUUAUCCGGAAUCAUUGGGUUUAAAGGGUCCGUAGGCGGUUUAGUAAGUCAGUGGUGAAAGCCCAUCGCUCAACGGUGGA